rnacentral:misc_RNA from 1 species
ACUUUUUUUUUACGGUAAUUCUCCAAGUUUAUGAAAUCCACCUGUACAAUUUGAUGUUAGGUUGUAGUAUGCAUGUAAUGUAGUAGGAGACCUAUUCUGAAAACAAAAAUUUCUUGUAGUAGACUUUAGUCCAACUGUCAGCAGAUCAGUUCAUUACAUGUAUACUCUAGUCAGAUGUAUGAUUUUUAUCAUAGUACUGUAACCACAGAUUCUUAUAAUUGGUGGAACAUUGAUUCUUCCAUGACUGUUGAAAAACAUUUAUUUGUGAUGGUCUGAUCGUGAUGUGAUACAUUUACUAAUAUCAUAUUACUGUUGUUAUUGACAUUCCUUGUUAAAGCCUCAUCUGGUAUAGUAGGCUUUUUCACAAGCUAAAUGUAAUCAAGAAAAUAUAUUAAAGUCAUUAUUAAA